UUGAUUAAACCAAAGAUACCGUGC
rnacentral:siRNA from 1 species